UCUCACAGCAAGCAAGUGUCAAAAACAGACCUAAGCCCAGGCUCUUAAUGCCCAGUUUGGUGUGGUUUCCAUGCAUCUGCCUAUUUCUCCUACAACUGAAAGUUACAAGACUUUUUUCAAAAUCGAAGGUUGAAGUUCGAAACAGGCAGAAGGAAGCUAGUAAGUGUGUAGGUUUUUUUUUAAGUUAUGAGUUUGAAACAACUGUGACUACUAACCUUUUCCUAAGCACUUAGCAUGUACAUGUGUUGUUCAUUUAAUUGCCUCAAUUCUAUGAAGUAUUUACUAUGUUUUCUUCAUUUUACAAAGGAAAAGGGAAAGUGAGGGAA
rnacentral:lncRNA from 1 species